AUUGAACGCUGGCGGCAUGCCUUACACAUGCAAGUCGAACGGUAACAGGUCUUCGGAUGCUGACGAGUGGCGAACGGGUGAGUAAUACAUCGGAACGUGCCUAGUAGUGGGGGGUAACUACUCGAAAGAGUGGCUAAUACCGCAUGAGAUCUACGGAUGAAAGCAGGGGAUCGCAAGACCUUGUGCUACUAGAGCGGCCGAUGGCAGAUUAGGUAGUUGGUGGGAUAAAAGCUUACCAAGCCGACGAUCUGUAGCUGGUCUGAGAGGACGAUCAGCCACACUGGGACUGUGACACGGCCCAGACUCCUACGGGAGGCAGCAGUGGGGAAUUUUGGACAAUGGGCGAAAGCCUGAUCCAGCAAUGCCGCGUGCAGGAUGAAGGCCUUCGGGUUGUAAACUGCUUUUGUACGGAACGAAAAGCCCCGGGUUAAUACCCUGGGGUCAUGACGGUACCGUAAGAAUAAGCACCGGCUAACUACGUGCCAGCAGCCGCGGUAA
rnacentral:rRNA from 1 species